GGUUAUGGCUCAGCAGUAGAGUGCUUGCCUAGCAUGUGUGGGGUGCUGGGUUCGAUCCUCAGCACCA
rnacentral:tRNA from 1 species